rnacentral:ncRNA from 1 species
GGCGCGCCGCUUGCUAGGUACAGCGCAACAGAGCAGUCAACGCUGAUUGCCCAUCCACGACAAAGGCGCCGU